AUCUCUUUGCAGUAAAUUGUUGCUAUUGAAAGGACAUUUUUUUGCAGUUAAAGAGCAGCUGGGAUUUAUUCUCCACUUCGAUAUGCAUUUGCUCAGGUAACCUUCUCUGUUUCUCACGGGUUAUUGUGGGGUGGGUGGCUUACAAACGUUCCUCUCUCUUCAGUAUUUAUGUAAAGAUAAGUCUCCACAAGAUGCCUUGUGAUUGAUGAGAUUGGCAAAAUUGGAGGUCCAAAUUACACACUCUAGGACUGCCGGGAGGCAACAUGCUAUUUCAAACAUGACGGUCAUGCUUACCGGCAAUAAGUGCGACUUUCCUGGGAUGUCAUCACAGGAGAAGGGGAGCUGUUUGGACAGUAUUGUGGGUUGAUCUUUAUGGAGGACUCUACAAGAAAAUGCGCAGACUGUAGAGGAGAUACCCGCAACACUAUGCAAGAUGAUACAGGAUGGAGUAUUUAAUGUGUCAAAUGAGGUUAGGUUCAAACUCCCUUUUUGUAGUCUUACUUAUCACUUAUGAGGAUUCCUCGCAUGUCAGUAUAUGCACAUAUGAUUUCGACUUCAUGC